rnacentral:sRNA from 1 species
UCACUAAUAAAAGAAAGUGGUCGUAUGC